rnacentral:rRNA from 1 species
UACGUAGGGUGCAAGCGUUAAUCGGAAUUACUGGGCGUAAAGCGUGCGCAGGCGGUUAGGUAAGACAGGGGUGCAAUCCCCGGGCUCAACCUGGGAACUGCCUUUGUGACUGCAUAGCUGGAGGACGGCAGAGGGGGAUGGAAGUCCGCGUGUAGCAGUGAAAUGCGUAGAUAUGCGGGGGAACACCGAUGGCGAAGGCAAGCCCCUGGCCCUGUACUGACGCUCAUGCACGAAAGCGUGGGGAGCAAACAGG